rnacentral:rRNA from 1 species
GUGGGGAAUUUUGGACAAUGGGCGCAAGCCUGAUCCAGCAAUGCCGCGUGCGGGAAGAAGGCCUUCGGGUUGUAAACCGCUUUUGGCAGGAACGAAACGGUGUCCGCUAAUACCGGGCGCUAAUGACGGUACCUGCAGAAUAAGCACCGGCUAACUACGUGCCAGCAGCCGCGGUAAUACGUAGGGUGCGAGCGUUAAUCGGAAUUACUGGGCGUAAAGCGUGCGCAGGCGGUUGUGUAAGACAGGCGUGAAAUCCCCGGGCUCAACCUGGGAAUGGCGCUUGUGACUGCACGGCUGGAGUGCGGCAGAGGGGGAUGGAAUUCCGCGUGUAGCAGUGAAAUGCGUAGAUAUGCGGAGGAACACCGAUGGCGAAGGCAAUCCCCUGGGCCUGCACUGACGCUCAUGCACGAAAGCGUGGGGAGCAAACAGGAUUAGAAACCCUAGUAGUCC